AUUAAACGCUGGCGGCAUGCCUUACACAUGCAAGUCGAACGGUAGCGCGGGGCGACCUGGCGACGAGUGGCGAACGGGUGAGUAAAGCAUCGGAACGUGCCCUGGAAUGGGGGAUAACGUAGCGAAAGUUACGCUAAUACCGCAUAUUCUGUGAGCAGGAAAGCAGGGGAUCGCAAGACCUUGCGUUCUGGGAGCGGCCGAUGUCGGAUUAGCUAGUUGGUGGGGUAAAAGCCUACCAAGGCGACGAUCCGUAGCGGGUCUGAGAGGAUGAUCCGCCACACUGGGAUUGAGACACGGCCCAGACUCCUACGGGAGGCAGCAGUGGGGAAUUUUGGACAAUGGGCGGAAGCCUGAUCCAGCCAUGCCGCGUGAGUGAAGAAGGCCUCGGUU
rnacentral:rRNA from 1 species